AACGAACGCUGGCGGCAUGCCUAACACAUGCCAGUCGAACGAGACCUUCGGGUCUAGUGGCGCACGGGUGCGUAACGCGUGGGAACCUGCCCUUAGGUUCGGAAUAACUCCCCGAAAGGGGUGCUAAUACCGGAUAAUGUCUUCGGACCAAAGAUUUAUCGCCUUUGGAUGGGCCCGCGUUGGAUUAGCUAGUUGGUAGGGUAAAAGCCUACCAAGGCGACGAUCCAUAGCUGGUCGGAGAGGAUGAUCAGCCACACUGGGACUGAGACACGGCCCAGACUCCUACGGGAGGCAGCAGUGGGGAAUAUUGGACAAUGAGCGAAAGCCUGAUCCAGCAAUGCCGCGUGAGUGAUGAAGGCCUUAGGGUUGUAAAGCUCUUUUACCCGGGAUGAUAAUGACAGUACCGGGAGAAUAAGCUCCGGCUAACUCCGUG
rnacentral:rRNA from 1 species